ACUAAACACUUCAAACGUUAAACGAGCGAAUAAACUGUAAAAUGAAUGAAUAUAGUAGGGUGAAUACUGAAACACUUAAAUUGCGGGUAAAAUAACAUAACGACAACGCUUACUACUUAGCUAAAUGAUUUUCUUUUUUGUUGUAUACUUUAAAUGUUAAACCUUAUUUCUCCACUUUAUUUCCUAUCGCACAGCAUACAACCAUGCUGCUGUUACAAUGUUACUGAUCCAAUAACUUUAUCGAGUUGAUUGUCGUUCAAAAAUCGUAAGCAUUUCACACACUCGUGACAUAUUUACUUGUUAGUUUUUACGUCUGCGUUAAUUACUUUUUUGGUUGACGUGGCUUUGCAGACCACAGUCAAUUCGACAUAUAUUCGAAUGUAAAGCGAUCUCGCAUUCGACCAUCUAUAGUAUCCUAUAUUGCAUCACACUUUACAUUGUUCCGCAAAAGAUAUGAUGUAUAUAGAUAUAAAUGUGUCGUUUUCUGUUUUUUUGUUCUAUCACGCCACAUCAUCUCUAUUUCACCACUUGAGUUCUUACUUUUCAAGUGGAAACAAGUGGCGUUUUACUGGUGUUAUAUCUCGUAUAUCUAUACUGUUCUUCAAAAUUAUCGAUUUAUUCUUCGCCACUGUCGCGAACCAUAACUCAUAAACACAUACAUUAAUUAAACAACACGACUUUCCGUCGAACACUUUUAAAACUGACGACGCACUUUGCUGAUGAUGUCCUAAGGUAAAGUUGUAGUGCAUAGACUUA